rnacentral:rRNA from 1 species
GACGAACGCUGGCGGCGUGCCUAAUACAUGCAAGUCGAACGCACUCUCGUUUAGAUUGAAGGAGCUUGCUCCUGAUUGAUAAACAUUUGAGUGAGUGGCGGACGGGUGAGUAACACGUGGGUAACCUGCCCUAAAGUGGGGGAUAACAUUUGGAAACAGAUGCUAAUACCGCAUAAAACCUAACACCGCAUGGUGUAGGGUUGAAAGAUGGUUUCGGCUAUCACUUUAGGAUGGACCCGCGGUGCAUUAGUUAGUUGGUGAGGUAAAGGCUCACCAAGACCGUGAUGCAUAGCCGACCUGAGAGGGUAAUCGGGCCACACUGGGACUGAGACACGGCCCAGACUCCUACGGGAGGCAGCAGUAGGGAAUCUUCCACAAUGGACGAAAGUCUGAUGGAGCAACGCCGCGUGAGUGAAGAAGGUUUUCGGAAUCGUAAAACUCUGUUGUUGGAGAAGAAUGUAUCUGAUAGUAACUGAUCAGGUAGUGACGGUAUCC